AUGGAGGCACGCCCAUUCCCAGUCCUUGUCUCGCCCCUCCUCCGCCAUCGACUCGUGGCAUUUCUGUGCCAAGCGAGGCCGGCAGUUCAUGAAGGGGUGGGGCGCCAACUUGGUCGCGACCUCCGCGAGCGGAAGAAGGCCCUUCUGUCUGCUAUUCAGGCCCUCGACCUGCGCGCCGACACCUCCGGCCUUUCUCCUAAGGAGUGGCUUUCCCGGUACGACCUGGAAGACCAACUCCCGGUCAUCUACUCCGACGAGGAGGCAUACUGGCGGGUGCGCGGGGCUCAGAAAUGGGUUCUGAAAGGUGAGGCCAACACGGCGUACUUUCAGGCCAUCACGAAUGGUCGGCGCAGGCGCAACACCAUCCCCCUUCUCUGGGAUGGGCCGACUCUAUUCCAGUCCCCGCGGGACAUUAGGUCCCACGUUGAUGGCUUAUAUAGGUCUCUGUUCGCCGCCGCUCCUCGGAGCGGCUUAUCCCUGGCCCUGGACUGUUGG
rnacentral:rRNA from 1 species